GGAGGGGUGGCAGAGUGGUCGAAUGCACCGGUCUUGAAAACCGGCAAGGGUUAGCGCCCUUCGUGGGUUCGAAUCCCACCCCCUCCGCCA
rnacentral:tRNA from 1 species